GGCGGGUUGGCAGAAUGGCUAUGCAGCGGAUUGCAAAUCCGUGGAUCUCGGUUCGACUCCGGGACCCGCCU
rfam:Idiomarina sp. MCCC 1A10513 contig1, whole genome shotgun sequence.